rnacentral:rRNA from 1 species
ACGCUGGCGGCAUGCCUUACACAUGCAAGUCGAACGGCAGCACGGAGCUUGCCCUGGUGGCGAGUGGCGAACGGGUGAGUAAUAUAUCGGAACGUACCCUGGAGUGGGGGAUAACGUAGCGAAAGUUACGCUAAUACCGCAUACGAUCUAUGGAUGAAAGUGGGGGAUGCGCAAGCACCUCAUGCUCGUGGAGCGGCCGAUAUCUGAUUAGCUAGUUGGUAGGGUAAAAGCCUACCAAGGCAUCGAUCAGUAGCUGGUCUGAGAGGACGACCAGCCACACUGGAACUGAGACACGGUCCAGACUCCUACGGGAGGCAGCAGUGGGGAAUUUUGGACAAUGGGCGCAAGCCUGAUCCAGCAAUGCCGCGUGAGUGAAGAAGGCCUUCGGGUUGUAAAGCUCUUUUGUCAGGGAAGAAACGGUGGAGGCUAAUAUCCUCUGCUAAUGACGGUACCUGAAGAAUAAGCACCGGCUACUACGUGCCAGCAGCCGCGGUAAUACGUAGGUGCAAGCGUUAAUCGGAAUUACUGGGGCGUAAAGCGUGCGCAGGCGGUUUUGUAAGUCUGAUGUGAAAUCCCCGGGCUCAACCUGGGAAUUGCAUUGGAGACUGCAAGGCUAGAAUCUGGCAGAAGGGGGGUAGAAUUCCACGUGUA